GUCCACUGUUUUCUCUUCAGAUCGUAUAAAUCUUUCGCAUUUUCUAAAGAUUUGUGUGGAGAGGAACAACUAUGCGUUUUAAAUAAUUUUUUAGGCUCUACAUGGCUCAGAUCU